rnacentral:misc_RNA from 1 species
CUUUUUCUCUCCCUUUUUCUCUCCACUAAUUCAUUCUUUGCCUUAUUAAGCAAAUUAAAACCAUACUGGACAAUCUCUCCAUUAAUGAAUUUGAUCGCAACCCAUGUCGGGUGAAAGAGGAAAAGAUUUAGCACAAGGAUCCAAUGAAGACCAUCUACAGUCUUCUCCUGGUGCUGCUGCUUCUCCAAGCCGUUAUGAAUCUCAGAAAAGAAGAGAUUGGAACACUUUUGGUCAGUACUUG